rnacentral:rRNA from 1 species
GAUGAACGCUGGCGGCGUGCCUAAUACAUGCAAGUCGAGCGAAGCGGGGACGGGUGAGUAACACGUGGAGAACCUCCUAUAAGACUGGAUUAACUUCGGGAAACCGGAGCUAAACCGGAUACUUAUCGAUUGAUCCGAGCUGCAUUAGCUAGUUGGGAAGGUAACGGCUUACCAAGGCAACGAUGCAUAGCCGGCCUGAGAGGGUGAUCGGCCACACUGGAACUGAGACACGGUCCAGACUCCUACGGGAGGCAGCAGUGGGGAAUAUUGCACAAUGGGCGCAAGCCUGAUGCAGCCAUGCCGCGUGUGUGAAGAAGGCCUUCGGGUUGUAAAGCACUUUCAGCGGGGAGGCGUUACUCGCAGAAGAAGCACCGGCUAACUCCGUGCCAGCAGCCGCGGUAAUAC